GCGGGGCUUUGGCAGACCAAGGCUCCAGUUUCACCUCCGCUGGUCCUUCAGUGAGGAAGAGGACAAAAUAAAGGUGUAAAGCAGCUCAGCAGAAACAUGAGGUUAUCAGUGACAGCUUCUUUAUUUAUAACAUUUGGAUUAAUACAUCCGAUCAACAGUUUGCUUUCCGCCUCUCCGGAGGACCUUGAGGGAUCAGGGUACGAUCUGGACAGCUCAGGUUCUGGUUCAGGAGAUGGCUCAGAUCCAGAUAAAACUGAGAGCAACACAGUUAACAGCGAAGAUGUCAGACUUCUUGCAGCAGGAGGAGGAAACGAUAAUACUUUACAUGGUUCUUCAGGUUUGACCUUUGACAGCACACUCUGGCCUGCAGGAGACUCUGGAUUUGUUUUUAUAGAAAGCAGCAAGUGGCCCUGGGAGCGGCCCGACAUCCACGCAGCCCUUAUUGCAGGGGGAGUGACAGGAGCGAUACUUGCAGCUAUGCUGAUGGCAGUAUUAAUCUACCAAAUGCAGAAUCAUGAUGAGGAAGGACCCAUUCUAGCCUGGAAGAAGGAUGCAAAUGAAGGUUAUCACAAACCCACAAGAGAUGUUAUUGUUUAACUCUGUUGCAUCAAUGUUGGUUUUAUAAGCUGAUAAUAGUGGGCCAGUAUAGUUUAGGUUCAGAAUAUCUCACAAUAUUGAUCUAUCAACUGUUAAAAACUGGAAAAAUUGACUGAUUCUGAACUCUCCAACUAAAUUGUCAUCAUAAUGUGUGAGAUACCAUUUAAAACUUUACGUUAAAACAUAAAAAUUGUAUGUACUGUAUGUAAUGAUCCUAGUUUAUUGCUUUUGUAUAAUGAUUUAUCAAAGAAAUGUAUAAGAUUCUCCUCCAUUUGUUUUAAUGGAACCUCUAGCAUAUAAUGUCAGUGUUUCCUGUUUCAUGAAAGGACGGUGCAGUGAAGGUCUUUCAGCAUAUGUAGCCUUGUUCAAAUGUUGAUUCAUUUUUGUUUUUUUUAGAAAAUAAUAUUAUCCAUUAUUUUUUUAUAUAUGAAAACAUGAUUUAUUUUCUCGGAUAGAAAUGUUGGUGCUUUUAUUCACUUUAGGGGGAAAGUACAUGUUAAGUGUAGUACUAUUAAUUAUUUUAUUAAUUAAUUGCAUGUACGUUUUAUGUAUAAUUGCUUUAAACUGGCAGCUCCAUACUCUUUACACAUUGUAGCACUUAAAUAAAAAAAACAUAAAAUCCUUCUUAGGACUUAAAAAAUAAAAAGUUCAAGUGUAAAUCUCAGUUGAGACAAUAAUCAAGAAGAAGUAGCCUAUAAGAAACAUAUUCAGGGAUACGUAGAGAAGGUUGAAGCAAGGCGUCUGGACUUGUAGAGUUUUCUAGAAGACGUUUCGCUGCUCAUCCAAGCAGCUUCAUCAGUUCUAACUGUUUGGUGGGGAAACAACACUAAACAACCACUCCACAGAAGAAUGGCUCAGCACAGGAGAGCCACCUCCUCAGGACAAGACUCAGCUGUUCACCUCCACCUCAAAGACAAAGGACACUCCUUUGAGGACAACAAUGUUCACAUUUUAGACAGGGAGGAAAGGUGGUAUGAAAGAGGAGUUAAAGGAGCCAUCUAUGUUAAGCUGGAAAAACCUUCCCUUAACAGAGGUGGUGGCCUCAGACAUCAUCUUUCUACCACAUACAAUGCAGUGAUUCCAUCCAUUCCCAGGAAGUUUGCACAUACUCACAGUAAGAACAAAGGGCUGUCAACCAGUCCCCCUCCGACAGUUUCAUAGUCGUUAGCCAGUCGUUAGACACACCUGGCCCAGUCAGCCAGAACAUCACAGGUAAGUAUGGAAACAUUUAGUGCUAUUGUUUUUAAGUUUUUUAAAGUUUUACCCAGACCCACCCACAUAGGUCUGUAACCACAUAUAAACCAUGUUUCCCCACCAAACAGUUAGAACUGAUGAAGCCGCUUGGAUGAGCAGUGAAACGUCUUCUAGAAAACUCUACAAGUCCAGACGCCUUGCUUCAACCUUCUCUACGUAUGAUGACCUGGAUGACUGAGAAUCUUCAUCAACAUAUUCAGGGAUGUAUAGUAAAUGUAAAAUGGC
ensembl:lncRNA